rnacentral:rRNA from 1 species
GGUUAAGCGACUAAGCGUACACGGUGGAUGCCCUGGCAGUCAGAGGCGAUGAAGGACGUGCUAAUCUGCGAUAAGCGUCGGUAAGGUGAUAUGAACCGUUAUAACCGGCGAUUUCCGAAUGGGGAAACCCAGUGUGAUUCGUCACACUAUCAUUAACUGAAUCCAUAGGUUAAUGAGGCGAACCGGGGGAACUGAAACAUCUAAGUACCCCGAGGAAAAGAAAUCAACCGAGAUUCCCCCAGUAGCGGCGAGCGAACGGGGAGGAGCCCAGAGCCUGAAUCAGUGUGUGUGUUAGUGGAAGCGUCUGGAAAGGCGCGCGAUACAGGGUGACAGCCCCGUACACAAAAAUGCACAUGCUGUGAGCUCGAUGAGUAGGGCGGGACACGUGGUAUCCUGUCUGAAUAUGGGGGGACCAUCCUCCAAGGCUAAAUACUCCUGACUGACCGAUAGUGAACCAGUACCGUGAGGGAAAGGCGAAAAGAACCCCGGCGAGGGGAGUGAAAAAGAACCUGAAACCGUGUACGUACAAGCAGUGGGAGCCUCUUUAUGGGGUGACUGCGUACCUUUUGUAUAAUGGGUCAGCGACUU